GGAGUUGUGGCUCAGUGGUAGAGCGCUUGCCUAGCAUGUGUGAGGCCCUGGGUUCGAUCCUCAGCACCA
rnacentral:tRNA from 1 species